AAUGUAGCGCUCGUCGCUGGUGCCCGGACGCACGUCGCCCGGGCUCAAAAGGGAAUCCGGUGCGAAUCCGGAGCUGCCCCGCAGCGGUCAGCGAGAACGAAGCCGUCCACACCACUGGCUCCUCGGAGUUGGGAAGGGGACGGUGUAGGCGGCAUCACCCCAACGCUCGCGAGCCCGAAGACCUGCCAACGACCCGCGUCCGGG
rnacentral:ncRNA from 2 species